GUAAGCCGUGUGCAGGAAAUCUGCACGCACGGUUUGAAAGGGGGUGCUGGAAUCGUAUCCGCCUGAUGGAUACGCGCCAGCUAUCUACCAAUGAAAGUCCUGGUCGCGGUGAAACGCGUGGUCGACUUCAAC
rnacentral:ncRNA from 1 species